UUGACAUCAAAAUAAAUCCUAUCUUAAAUUUUGUCUCAACAAAAGGACAUGAUGAGGGUGCUGGGGUUGACCUAAAGGCCAUCAUUAUAUUUUCAAGUGAAUCAAUAUCCUUGAAGCUUUGGAAAGGAGGCUAAGGGGCAGGGGAAGCCACAUACAACUGAAAAUACAAUAACGAAGAUCAAACUAUGUUAAAAAAGUAGAGAAUAAUCCACAACUUAUCGAAGAAUAAUUCAACCAAAAUUUUCUCGCAAUGGUAAGUACUCUUCCUCCAUCUUCAUUACUAUGUCCAAUUUUGAGGCUGCACGUAUCACUAUUCUUUCACUCAGAAGCACGCAUCCAGUAAGCAGCAACAACACAGAGCAGCCAAACUAAACCAUCAAAGUAAAACCAAGUUAGUAGAUACAAAAUGUCAUCCAAUCAAUCACGGUCUCAACUCUUUAAAGAUUCAUAUCCACAUAAUGUAAAUAAGGUAUUUCGAAACAAAAUGAUGCAUUAUUUAUUUAGAAAUGUGAUAUUUUUGAAAUAUAAAACAUUUAAAAAAGCAUAAAAAUUAUCUUGUUUGCCUAACACAAAAAUAAUAAGUUAUGAGUUUUGGAUUGAAAAUUUUGAAUUGAGUUAUUUGAAAUACCACCCCAUAACCAAGUAUUUGAAAUAAUUUGAUUCGAGUUAUUUUAAAUUCCACAGUUACGAAAUACCACGAGUAUUAGAAUAAAAAACAAAAUAUUUUAAUCCAAAAUACCUCAUUCAAAUAGUUCAUCCAAACGACCCGAUAAAAUAAACACAUACCGUUACUGUGCAUUGUGCUCGUUACUUAUUGGAAAAUAGAAACAAGAGAACGAUUUUCUUUCAGUCAUAAACACAAUCUAUCAAUCAUAAAAUAGCUGAGAAAUGGAGUUUAUUUCAAUUUCAUACGGAAAGCCGUUGUAAUUUCCUUGCAUAGUUGAGAAAAUGGAGUAAAAUGAGAAGUACCAGCCUUCUAAACAACCGCUGUUGUUGUUUUGGUGUUGUUGUUGAGGCGGUGGCUGAGCAUAUUGAGGAGCAUAAGGUGGGGGAGGACCAGGGUACCCCGGUUGAGGAGGAUAUCCAUAUCCUGAUUGAGGAGGAUAACCAGGAGGAGGAUAACCCUGCGGAGGAUAUCCAGGCGGUGGAUAAGCAGUAUCUUUCGGAUAUUCUUCCCGCGAAUAAGCUGUUUUUUUGGUGAAAUCAGUCACCAUCAUAUAUAAUUCAGAGCCGCGAUCAAAAUCAUUUUAAAUCAAACAAAGAUCAACAUCAAAAUUAAACGAAUAAUGGAUUCGAAAAUAAAAGGUAGAUACCGAACUUGAGGGUGAGGGAGAGGAACACCGACGGGAGGUUGUUGCUGGUUGUAAUAGCUCAUGAUUCUUCUUCUUCUUCUUCUUCUUCUUGGGGAUUUGAAAUUGAAUCGGUGAGCUCUAAGG
rnacentral:lncRNA from 1 species